GUGGACGUACCCCUGGUGUUCCGGUUGUCACGCCAGUGGCAUUGCCGGGUAGCUACGUACGGAAGGGAUAACCGCUGAAAGCAUCUAAGCGGGAAGCCCCACCCAAGAUUAGUUCUCACUAGACUCUUGAAGUCUCUGUAGGUCCGUCGAAGACUACGACGUUGAUAGGCAGGGUGUGGAAGCACAGUAAUGUGUGAAGCUAACCUGUACUAAUUGACCGUGUGGCUUGACCAUAUAUCACUCAAGCAGUU
rnacentral:rRNA from 1 species